UGCGCAAUCAGCACCAGUUCUAAAUGGUACAGCCUCGGCCACAUAUUCUAUUUCCACCAGUGACCCGGCACCACUUGGCACUUACAUCAGUAGGGCAAAAAUAGCAGUCUUUUCCAAUUUCCUCUGCCACCUUUUCACCAUUACUUGAAGGAAGAUCUAAGAUAACUGCCUUGGCUGCAUGUUUCUGUAUGAGACGUUGUACUGUUGCUCUACCUAAGCCAGAAGCACCUCCAGUGACUAAACAUCUCAGCUGUUUUGCAGCCGCCAUCUUGCAAACGUGUACUGGUAAGUGGGAUACGUCAAGUAACAUCUUUUGAAAUGUAUUCACCAAACCCACUGUUCUUUGUAAACUCGUUAAAAUUACAAAUUUAUGUUUACGUUAAGAUUUAUUCAGAAAUAUGUUC